rnacentral:rRNA from 1 species
GUCUAAGUAUAAGCAACUAUACGGUGAAACUGCGAAUGGCUCAUUAAAUCAGUUAUCGUUUAUUUGAUAGUACCUUACUACAUGGAUAACCGUGGUAAUUCUAGAGCUAAUACAUGCUAAAAACCUCGACUUCGGAAGGGGUGUAUUUAUUAGAUAAAAAACCAAUGCCCUUCGGGGCUCCUUGGUGAAUCAUAAUAACUUAACGAAUCGCAUGGCCUUGCGCCGGCGAUGGUUCAUUCAAAUUUCUGCCCUAUCAACUUUCGAUGGUAGGAUAGUGGCCUACCAUGGUAUCAACGGGUAACGGGGAAUUAGGGUUCGACUCCGGAGAGGGAGCCUGAGAAACGGCUACCACAUCCAAGGAAGGCAGCAGGCGCGCAAAUUACCCAAUCCCGACACGGGGAGGUAGUGACAAUAAAUACUGAUACAGGGCUCUUUUGGGUCUUGUAAUUGGAAUGAGUACAAUUUAAAUCCCUUAACGAGGAACAAUUGGAGGGCAAGUCUGGUGCCAGCAGCCGCGGUAAUUCCAGCUCCAAUAGCGUAUAUUAAAGUUGUUGCAGUUAAAAAGCUCGUAGUUGAACCUUGGGCCUGGCUGGCCGGUCCGCCUCACCGCGUGUACUGGUCCGGCCGGGCCUUUCCUUCUGGGGAGCCGCAUGCCCUUCACUGGGCGUGUCGGGGAACCAGGACUUUUACUUUGAAAAAAUUAGAGUGUUCAAAGCAGGCCUUUGCUCGAAUACAUUAGCAUGGAAUAAUAGAAUAGGACGUGCGGUUCUAUUUUGUUGGUUUCUAGGACCGCCGUAAUGAUUAAUAGGGAUAGUCGGGGGCAUCAGUAUUCAAUUGUCAGAGGUGAAAUUCUUGGAUUUAUUGAAGACUAACUACUGCGAAAGCAUUUGCCAAGGAUGUUUUCAUUAAUCAGUGAACGAAAGUUAGGGGAUCGAAGACGAUCAGAUACCGUCGUAGUCUUAACCAUAAACUAUGCCGACUAGGGAUCGGUGGAUGUUACUAUUUUGACUCCAUCGGCACCUUACGAGAAAUCAAAGUUUUUGGGUUCUGGGGGGAGUAUGUCGCAAG